CCUACGGGGGGCAGCAGUGGGGAAUAUUGGGCAAUGGGCGCAAGCCUGACCCAGCAAUGCCGCGUGAAGGAAGAAGGCUUUCGGGUUGUAAACUUCUUUGACCGGGGAAGAGCAGAAGACGGUACCCUGAACACAAGCCACGGCUAACUACGUGCCAGCAGCCGCGGUAAUACAUAGGUGGCAAGCGUUGUCCGGAUUUAGUGGGGGUAAGGGCGUGUAGCCGGGAAGGCAAGUCAGAUGUGAAAUCUGGAGGCUCAACCUCCAAAUUGCAUUUGAAACUGUUUUUCUGGAGUACGGGAGAGGCAGACGGAAUUCCUUGUGUAGCGGUGAAAUGCGUAGAUAUAAGGAGGUACACCAGUGGCGAAGGCGGUCUGCUGGACAGCAACUGACGGUGAGGCGCGAAAGCGUGGGGAGCAAACAGGAUUAGAUACCCCAGUAGUC
rnacentral:rRNA from 1 species